AGGGUGUUGUCUGAGACUGAUCUUGGCGAGAAGCAAAAUCAGGACUUGAGAGGGACUCUCUGGAGGCAUGAAAGCCCCACUGGCCUCAAUGUCCCUCCUUCUUCUAAACAAAUACAUCUUGAAGAAGAGGAAGGAUUGAAGAGACCAAAUGCUUGGAUUGCGUGUAAAAGAGAACACAUGAAUCUGCUUUACCCACAAUGAUGAUGGAUCCCCAUCAAAGAGCUUUUCCUUCCGAGGAUCAGAAGUCAUCUGACACAGUGGAUGCAGAUCAGACUCUUUAAGACAAAUGAUACUUGCAAGUGGAGUGAAAAAGAUGAUAAGAUUUAAGAAUCAAACCUGUUGGAUUCUGCACCUGAUUCUGUCAGAGUGGACUGACACUGGGAACACGUCAUUUAAUUUUCUGAUUCAUCAUCAAGACCUUUGCAUGUGCGUGGCCAUCAUUUCCUUGUAGGGAUGGAUGGCUGAAAAAUCAAAAUCUAUCACGAUCCUCUGAUGAGAGAGACUCUUCCUAAAUCAUCUCUGAAUGAACGGGGAAGCCUAUCUGACAGAAACCAAAAGAGAGCUGGGGGUCCCAAAGCAAGAUAUUCAAAAAGCAAGGCAUGACAAAGACGACAACACCACAGGAGGACCUGCAGCCCCUGAAUCACUGAGAUGGGUAGCUUUACAGGAGCCAUGAGAAGAGUCUGAUUCAUUCCUGCACCAGGGCACGCUGGCACGUCCUGCUUCCUGAACUGCAGUGAUUCGUCACAACCCUAGGCAGCCAAUCACGGGCGGGUCAACGCGGAAAGAGAAUGAAAGUCACUGUGAGUUCAGAAAAAUUCCCAAAGCCGGUAAUAACCAAGAGAGAAGCAGUAGUAGUUUGAUGAAAGGAGAACCCGCCAGCACCCCCUCCCCGGCCAACAAAUUCCCCAGGAAUUACCAAAUGUAGAAAGAAAUUCAAGGAAGGCUAAUCAAGAUGAUCUAAGGCGUUAUUGCAACUGCGUGAAAUAUACUUG